rnacentral:rRNA from 1 species
GAUGAACGCUGGCGGCGUGCCUAAUACAUGCAAGUCGAGCGAACGGACGAGAAGCUUGCUUUUCUGAUGUUAGCGGCGGACGGGUGAGUAACACGUGGAUAACCUACCUAUAAGACUGGGAUAACUUCGGGAAACCGGAGCUAAUACCGGAUAAUAUUUUGAACCGCAUGGUUCAAAAGUGAAAGACGGUCUUGCUGUCACUUAUAGAUGGAUCCGCGCUGCAUUAUCUAGUUGGUAAGGUAACGGCUUACCAAGGCAACGAUGCAUAGCCGACCUGAGAGGGUGAUCGGCCACAGUGGAACUGAGACACGGUCCAGACUCCUACGGGAGGCAGCAGUAGGGAAUCUUCCGCAAUGGGCGAAAGCCUGGCGGAGCAACGCCGCGUGAGUGAUGAAGGUCUUCGGAUCGUAAAACUCUGUUAUUAGGGAAGAACAUAUGUGUAAGUAACUGUGCACAUCUUGACGGUACCUAAUCAGAAAGCCACGGCUAACUACGUG